rnacentral:rRNA from 1 species
UACGGAGGGUGCAAGCGUUGUUCGGAAUUACUGGGCGUAAAGCGCGUGUAGGCGGUUCGGUAAGUCGGUUGAGAAAGCCCCGAGCGCAACUCGGGAAUUGCGUCCGAAACUGCCGGACUGGAGUCCCGGAGAGGAAGGCAGAAUUCCCAAUGUAGGGGUGAAAUCCGUAGAUAUUGGGAAGAAUACCGGCUGCGAAGGCGGCCUUCUGGACGGUGACUUACGCUGAGACGCGAAAGGGUGGGGAGCAAACAGG